rnacentral:rRNA from 1 species
GACGAACGCUGGCGGCGUGCCUAAUACAUGCAAGUAGAACGCUGAAGGAGGAGCUUGCUUCUCUGGAUGAGUUGCGAACGGGUGAGUAACGCGUAGGUAACCUGCCUGGUAGCGGGGGAUAACUAUUGGAAACGAUAGCUAAUACCGCAUAAUAGUAGAUGUUGCAUGACAUUUGCUUAAAAGGUGCAAUUGCAUCACUACCAGAUGGACCUGCGUUGUAUUAGCUAGUUGGUGGGGUAACGGCUCACCAAGGCGACGAUACAUAGCCGACCUGAGAGGGGGGGCGGCCACACUGGGACUGGGACACGGCCCAGACGCCUACGGGGGGCAGCAGUAGGGAAUCUUCGGCAAUAGGCGGAAGUCUGACCGAGCAACGCCGCGUGAGUGAAGAAGGUUUUCGGGUCGUAAAGAUCUGUUGUAAGGGAAGAACGAGUGUGAGAGUGGAAAGUUCACACUGUGACGGUAUCUUACCAGAAAGGGACGGCUAACUACGUG